CGUCUAUAUACGUAUAGCAUAUCAAUAAGCGGAGGAAAAGAAACUAACUAGGAUUCCCUCAGUAACGGCGAGUGAAGCGGGAAGAGCUCAAAUUUGAAAUCUUCAAGGUUUCUACCUUGACGAAUUGUAGUUUAAAGAAGUGUUUUCUGUUGGAAUUUUGGUAAAAGUUCUUUGGAAUAGGACAUCAUAGAGGGUGAGAAUCCCGUAUUUGACCAUUACUUUCCAGCUUUGUGAUACACUUUCAAAGAGUCGGAUUGUUUGGGAAUGCAGUCCAAAAUGGGUGGUAAAUUUCAUCUAAAGCUAAAUAUUGGCGAGAGACCGAUAGCGAACAAGUACCGUGAGGGAAAGAUGAAAAGAACUUUGAAAAGAGAGUUAAACAGUACGUGAAAUUGUCAAAAGGGAAGCGUUUGACACCAGUGUUGUUUUCUCGAAAAUCAAUUAAAAAAGACUGGAUUUUGUGUUGUAUUGACUUUAUCAGCUUUCUGCACUCUUUUCUUGUCUUUUUUAAUGCACUUUUCGUUUAACAAGUCAACAUCAAUUUCUUUUGUUGUAAAAGGGUCAUUGGAAGGUGGCUUUCUUUUCGGAGAAAGUGUUUAUAGCCUUUGGCCUCUGCAAUCGGAGAGAUUGAGGUCUGCAGCGUAGAUCCUUCGGGGUUAGAUACAUUUGUGCUAAGUUAUAGCCUUUCAUAGACAACUUGUUGACUAUGUAUCAGUCAUGUCGCUUACUCGCUUAUGCUAUUUUACCUACGCUUAGGAUGUUGAUGUGAUACUGCGAGCA
rnacentral:rRNA from 1 species